AUGUACCUUACUGGCUAUACAGGUCACAUGGCCCAAGAGAAGUUGGAUAAGCAAGAAGAGAAUUGUCAAGGUUGCAUUGGAUCGGCACAGAUUGAGCCCAUUGAUGAGUACUGUGUCCAACAACUGAAGGAAUUUGAGGGGAAGACUUUAGUGUCAGUCACCAAAGAGGGCUUGGAACUUCCAGCGGAUGAAGAAGAGAAAAAGAAACAGGAAGAGAAAAAAAAAAAAAAAAAACAAAGUUUGAGAACCUCUGCAAAAUCACGAAAGACAUAUUGGAGAAAAAAAGUUGAAAAGGUGGUUGUGUCAAGCCGAUCAGUGACGUCUCGUCACAAGCACAUAUGGCUGGACAGCAAACAUGGAGAGGAUCAUGAAAGCUCAAGUCCUAAGAGACAACUCAACAAUGGGUUACAUGGCAGCAAAGAAACACCUGGAGAUAAACCCUGACCAUUCCAUUAUCGAGACCUUAAGGCAAAAGGCAGAGGCUGAUAAGAACGACAAGUCUGUGAAGAAUCUGGUCAUCUUGCUUUAUGAAACUGUGCUCCUGUCUUCCGGCUUCAGUCUGAAAGAUCCCCAGACACCUGCUAACAGGAUCUACUGGAUGAUCAAACUUGGUCUAGGUAUUGAUGAAGAUGACCCUACUGCUGAUGAUACCAGUGCAGCUGUAACUGAAGAAAUGCCACCCCUCGAAGGAGAUGAUGACACAUCACGCAUGGAAGAAGUAGACUAAGCUCCAGCUGAGGGAUGACUUACCUGUUCAAUACUCUACAGUUCCUCUAAUAAUAUAUUUUUAAGGAUGUU